AGCUCCCACUAAACUCCAAUAGUACAAAAGGACAGAGACUAGUCAUUGAAGGAGAGGAGGGAUGGUGGAAAAAUGUAGAAUGGAAGGAUGAAUCCACUCGAAUUGCUUUUCUCCCUUCUUUCAAACCUCAUGUAUUCUAAGAAAUGUUGGAUAUUAAUUAAGGCUUAAAGCCUUGAUUGUAUCAUAACAUACCUCAUUGUAAGUUCUAUUUUGCCUAUCCUUAGAUUACAUGUAGCUUGGUUCUGUGUUUUACACACAGACUUUUUUUCUUUAGUAUGAAUUUGAAAAUAUAUUAUGUUAAUGAAUUAAAAUUUGAAAUAUAACUUUCAACAUAUCACAUCAUUUUCUUUUAAUUUUAUAACUAAAAAUUUCCAUAAUUAUAGUAAAAUUAAAAUUUUUCUUAUAAAAGUUGUUUUAGUUUGUAUUUCUGUAUAAAUUUGGAAUUUGGAAAUUUAAAAAAUUAAAAAUUUAAGUUUUAAUAAGUUAAUAAAAUAUAAUUUAUUUUCAUUUAUUAUACAUGUUAUCAAUAAAAAAAACUUAUUAAAUACUAAAUAUUUAGAAUUAUAUUAUAAUAAAAUAACGGUGACAUAAUAUAAUUUUUAAUAUUUUUAUAUUAAAACUCAUUAAUACAAAUUAUUAACAUUUUAGAAUUUUUUAUGAAUCUGAUAUCAUGCAAGUACAAAAAUUAACAUAUUUUUUAAUGAUGUUUCAAUGUUGAAAUAUGAUUAAAUGAUUAGAUUAGGGUGUUUCAAAUUUAAAUAUAUAUAAUAAAAAAAUUUAUUAUUAUACAACUUAUUGUGGCAACAACAAGAGGACAUGAGUUUGAGCACAAAUAAAUACAAAUUAUUCUUUUAUUCACACAUUUAAGAGUCUAUAAGUAGUAAUAGGAAAUGUAUAAAUUUUUUUAUUAUUUAUAUUGUUUUUUGCUUAAUAAUUUUCUUUAAAAGAAACUAACUUAUAGCAUUGUUUCGAUAUCAUAUAUGAGCCCGGCUUAAUCUGUAAAUAUCUUUACUCAAAUCUGAUUACUAAAAGUGAGAUUAUGUAUAUGAAUUCUCUAUAAUUAUAGACUCAUAAAUAAGUUAUUGCAAUUAAUACUCAAAUGGCAGUCUCUGAAUUUAAUAAGUUACAGCAAACUAAUUAGUUAAAUAUUUGAUGAGUAUAAUUAUUAGACAUCUCCUUCUCCUACUUCCUUUGCAUUUUGAAUUGAGCCCCUCUUGUAACACUAAAAUAACAUUAACAGGUAAAGAUUGUGUACAGAGGUAAGCAUACUAUACACAGUUUCAACUUGAUUUUGUAAUAUUUCCAUCAAAUAAUUUAUGCGUCAUAGUGUCAUAAUUAAGAGUGUAUGUCUACUUCUGCUGAUUCUCUUGUGUGGUGUGCUGAUAAUUUUGGGAAAUACUCGGUACUAGAUGGGUAUAAGCUGAUGAAAAAGUGAAAUCUUGUUUGUAUAUUGUUCUUUAUAUCCAGAAGAUGAUCUCUUUAAAAAAGAUGCAUUAAUACAUUGUAGGUAAUUAGUAAAUCAUGAAAAAAGUUAACACUGUAAUUUUUUAGUACUAAAAUCAUGAGAAAAAAUCGAAUACUAAAUGAUAUAUUAAAUCUUUAAAUAAAUAUUUACUUUAAAAUUUUAGAAACAAAAUUUUUUAAUUAAAUAAAAUAUAAAACCACUUAAAUUUAAUACAAUAUAUAAUUAUUUUUAUUAUUUUAAAUACUUUUUUAUAUAGUUUUUUUUAAUUUAAAACAAUUCUGGAAAAAAACUAUUUUUUUUCUGAAAACAUAUUUAUAAAUAUAAAUCUUUUUAAAAGAUUUAAAAAUAUAGUAUUUUAAUUAUAAUUGGUAAUAAUUUUAAAUCUUCGUACAUUUUUUAAUCAACAAAUUGUGAUAUAUUUUUAUCAUAUUUUUUAAUCAACAAAUUGUGCCCAUUUAUUUUAAAUUUUAAAUUAAUAAUUUAACUAUGUUUCAAAUAGAUAAUGUGUUGAAUUAAAAUAUGAAUAUUAAAGUUGAGUGGCACUCCACAAUAUUCACUACUACAUUUACUUACCACAACCUCAAUUAUUGCCCAUGUUGGAAGAGGACAGCAACUGUCCCUGAAAACUAUCUGACCAAAAUUUUCAUCCCCACAAUUAGGAUAUGCAAUUAGUUAUGGUUUAAUCAUAACAUCAAGCUCAUGAGCGAAAAUCCUCAUAUCUUUUUUAUUUUGUCUAUAGUGCUCAACUUACCUCCUCUGCAUUUUGAAUCUAGACACCUGCUUUGAAGGUUGAGAACCAGAUGAUUGCAGAGGGCAUUAAUUUUGCAAUAAGUUGGUGGCUGUACUACUUAAUAAUUACAUACUCACAAAGAUGUGUAAGCACAAUUUUUUAUAUGGAUUCCAUGUCUUUAAUUGGAUUAUGAUAACCCCUGAAAGAAUUUCUGAAUUCUUCCAUUGGCAUAUAUGGUCAUGAAUUCAGUUACCUUGAUCUUCCACUGUUUUCUGUUUUUUGCUGAUGUUUGUUUAAGUGGCAACGAUAGUGCUUGUGAAUAUCUCAUACAUGAAUGCUGUGGGAAGCUAAUGCAGGGCAAAGCAAGUUGUGAGUUUCUACCCAACAUGCUCAUCUUAGUCUUUCUUCUCUGAUGGGAUCUUAAUAAUUGAGGUUCCUUUAUCUUUGUUGAAGUGGAACCCUUUAAAGAAAGAGGCAGCUCCCAACUUGCCUGAUUUUGAUAAUGGACUAACUUUACACCUAAUAUGAAUAAAUUAAAAUAUGUUGUAUUAAUGUUGCUCAAGUUGUAAAAUAGAAUAAUAAAUUGCAUAUGGUAUCCACUGCACACAAAAGAUGCCUUACAAUGGGCCCAUUGUGUCAAAACCAAAUAAAGUGAGAUAAAAGAGAGCUGUGUGCAAUACAAGUCUUCCCACCAAGUCAAUGAUUUUACACACUUUACUGUAAUUAUCAUCAUAUUCACUAUCUCUUUUUUUUUUUUGGUAUCAAAAUGCAUGUGAACUUCCAACAGUUUGUCUUUGUUUUUCUCCUCUUUGUAGUCUCAAACUUUCAUAGAACUCCGUAAGCAUCUUUGAUUUAUUCCUUGCUUCUAUUUCCAGAUUGUUGAACUCACUCUUCUACAAUCAAAACCAGGUAUGGGUAAUAUCUUCUCAAUCUCACUUUCACUCGAUCCCAUCAUUACCCGUUGCUCGGAUUGUGCGACUGGACAGGCAAGUUAUAUAUGCAACCUCGAAGAUAACCUCCAUGCUUUACAAACUGAAGUAGCAGGACUGAAGGAGCUCAGGAGUGAUCUGAUGAGCAGGGUCAGAAUUGCUGAAGAUGAGCAGCGGCUUAAGCGGCUAAACCAAGUUGAGGGUUGGCUUUCGAGGGCUGAAACUCUGAUAAACGAUGCUGAUCAACUGAUUUUCCAAAGUUCUCAGCAUGUUGAUAAUCUAUGUAUGGGAGGUUGUUGCUCCACUCAUCCUAGGUCCAGCAUCAAGUUCGGGAAGCAAAUUGCCAAAAAACUCCAAGAGGUGAAAGACCAGAAGGAGAAUGGAGAUUUCAGUGAUGUGGCCAGCAAGCCACCACCUCCUUCAUCAACUGAAAGACCUAGUGAGCCAACUGUGGGUUUAGAGUUCUAUUUGAACAAGGUUUGGAGCUGUCUUCAAAAGGAACAAGUGGGAAUUAUUGGCAUAUAUGGCUUAGGAGGGGUUGGCAAGACAACCCUCCUAAACCAAAUCAAUAACAAAUUCCAUGAUACUACCCAUGAUUACCAUGUCAUUUGGGCAGUUGCAUCGCAAGAUCUGCCAAUUGAGAGAGUCCAGGAGCAGAUUGCCGAAAGAAUAGGCAUUUCUAAUAAUGGUUGGAAAUCUAUUGAUGAGAAAGCCGCGGACAUCUUCAACGUCUUACGUAAAAAGAAGUUUGCAUUGUUGUUAGAUGAUAUAUGGGAACGGUUUGAUCUCACAAGAGCUGGGGUACCUCUUCCAACACAAGGAAAUGGCUCUAAAGUCAUUUUCACAACUCGUCGUGUUGACGUGUGCUGUCAAAUGCAACCGAACAUGGAUAAUAAUAUCGGAGUGGAAUGUUUACCACCAGGAGAAGCUUUCAAACUAUUCGAGAAGAAGGUUGGAUCAGAAACCCUUCGAAUGCAUCCAGAUAUUUGCAAGUUAGCUGAAGCGGUGGUUGAAGAGUGUGCAGGACUACCUCUCGCUCUCAUUACAAUUGGGCGAGCCAUGGCAUCCAAGAAGACCCUUCGAGAAUGGGAAUAUGCCAUAGAAGUUUUAAGGCAAUCAGCAGCUUCUGUGUUGCCAGGGGUAGGGAAAGAGAUGUAUCCCAAGUUAAAAUUCAGUUAUGACUGUUUACCUGAUGAAAGGUUCAGAUCUUCUUUCUUGUAUUGUUCUUUAUAUCCAGAAGAUUAUUUCAUUGACAAAGACAAACUAGUAGAUUUUUGGAUCGGGGAAGGAUUUUUGGACGAGCAUACCAAUUUGAGCAGUGCCAGAAACCAGGGACAUUUCAUUAUAGGUUCUCUUAUUGACGCAUGCUUAUUGGAGAAACAAGGUAAUCAUCGUAUAAAGAUGCACGAUGUGAUUCGCGACAUGGCUUUGUGGAUUGCUGGUGAAUCUGAGAAGGAGAAGUUUUUUGUAAAAUCAGGUGUUCAGUUAAAGGAACAACCGAAAGCUAAAAAGUGGGAAGAGGUAACAAGAAUGUCGCUGAUGAGUAAUCAAAUUGAAAAUCUAACUGAGAUACUGGAAUGUCCCAAACUCCAAACUUUGUUUCUUGGCAGCAAUGAUUUGAAGGUAAUCAUGGAUGAUUUCUUUAAUUCUAUGCCGAUGCUAAGGGUUCUAGACUUGUCCUCCAAUUGGAAUUUGGAAGAAUUGCCGGUUGGAAUUGCAAAGUUGGUUUCACUAGAACAUCUCAAUUUGUCAGGUACAGGAAUAAGAAAGUUGCCAGUCGAAUUGAAGGCCCUAGCAAAGCUGAAAUAUUUGAAUCUGGAGUGGACACGCGAUCUAGAAAUGAUCCCACAACAAUUGAUAUCCAGUUUUUCCAAGUUGCAAGUACUGAAAAUGGUGAGAUGUGGCUAUGGAUGUUUAUUGGUUUUGGAGGAAAUGGAGCAUUUAAAACAUUUGAAUGUGUUGACCAUUACUUUUAGAAGCGCUUCGGAGUUGGAAAAAGCUUCGAGGUUCAACAAGUUCUUUAGCUGUGCCAUUGAAGUUGUAAGCCUUGAAGAUUUCAGAGAUUCAAGAUCAUUGACUAUUAUGGCUUUAGCAAAACUGCAGCAUCUAUGUACUUUAACACUCUCGAGGUGUUGGGAUCUAGAGGAAGUGAAGAUCGAACGUAACAUAACUGAAGGUGCAGGAUGCUUCCAUAGCCUUCGAACUGUAAUCCUAGACGAAUGCAAUCAUUUGAGGGAUGUGAGUUGGGUAACUUUUGCUCCACAUUUGGAAGAACUAUAUAUAUUGGAUUGCAAAGGUUUAGAAGAAAUCAUCAGUGAAGAAAAACUUGGUGAAGUCGCUGAGCUAAAAGGAAAUUCAAACUUGUUUUCUAAGCUAGAGAUUUUGCAUCUAUGGGGUUUACCCAAACUAAAGACUAUAUACCAGCAUGCUUUGCCUUUCCCACAGCUGAAGGAAAUAUACAUUAGACGAUGCCCAAUGUUAAAGAAGCUCCCACUAAACUCCAAUAGUGCAAAAGGACAGAGGCUGGUCAUUUUUGGAGAGGAGGGAUGUUGGAAAGAUGUAGAAUGGGAGGAUGAAUCCACUAAAAUUGCUUUUCUCCCCUCUUUCAGACCUUUUUAAUCUAAAAAAAGUUAGAAAUUAAGUCUUAAAACUAUUAUUGUAUCAUAACAUGUGUCAUUACAAGUUCUAUUUUGUUUAUCCCUAAAUUACAUGUAGUUUGAUUUUGUAUUUUACACUAAGACUUUUUCUUUAUAAAAGUAAAAUGUUUGAGUUUGAGAAUAUAUUAUGUUAUAAAGUAUAACUCUCAACACAUCACUUCAUUUUCUUUUAAUUCUAUAACUAAAAUUUUUGAUAAUUAUAGUAAAAUUAAAAUUUUUCUAUUCUGUAUAUUUAAAAAUGAGAUAAUUUUUGUUAUAGGAAAGUAUACUAUAAAUAUGUUUAUUAUAAAUUAGGAAUUUUAAAAAGAGAAAAUUUAAGUUUAAAUAUAAUUUACUUUUAUUCAAAAUGCAUGUUAUCAUAAGAAGAGGUGUUUCAUAAGCAUAAUAUCAAUAAAUCAUGUAAAAUUAGAUACUAAAUAUUGGAAAUUAUAUUGAGUGACAUAAUAUAAAUGCUAGAAUAUUUCAAUAUUUGUAUAUUAAAAUUCAUUAAUACAAACUACUAACAUUUUAAAAUUUUUAUGAUUAUUGAAUGCUACUACCAAAAUUCACAUAUAAUUUUUUAAAAAAAAUUAUUAUUCAUAUCUAAUAUUUAAAUGAAUUGGUGAUAUUAUUAGUUUUAAAUAAUUUUCUUUAAAAGUAACCAACUUAAUAGUUUCAGCAACCAAAUUAUUAAAUAGAAAAUUAAAGACAAACUUAACUUUUGGAAAAAAGGGUGAGAAAAUUAACUCUUUUUCAUUUGAAAAAUCAAUAGCUAUUUAAUUGCUUAUUUAUAUUUAUCUUUUUAUCUUUUUAUUAUUAAUUUUAAAAAUAAAUAAAACUAGACUUCUUACAUAUAUCUAUUAAAAAUUUAAAUGUUUUAGUUAUAAUUGUUGAUCAUACAUAAUGUUCCAUCUUAAUAUCUCAUUAUAAACAAAAUUAGACUUAAAUAAGUUUAAAAUUAAUCAUUUACAAAUAUCAACAAGCAAAAACUUGUAAGAUUUGAGCACUGAAUUGAUCUAUGACUACUUAUACUCAAAGUGAGAUUGUGUGUAUGAAUUCUGUAGAAUCACAGUCUCAUAAACAAGUUAUAACAAGUAUAACUUUCGACAUAUCAUAUCAUUUUCUUUUAAUUUUAUAACUAAAAAUUUCCAUAACUAUAGUAAAAUUUAAAAUUUUUCUUAUAAAUGUUGUUUUAGUUUGUACUUUUGUAUAUUUAAAUAUGAGAUAAUUCUUUAUAGGAAAGAAAAAUGUGUUAAGUAUAAAUUUGUAAUUUGGAAUUUUAAAAAAUUAAAUAUUUAAGUUUUAAUAAGUUAAUAAAAUAUAAUUUAUUUUCAUUUAUUAAACAUGUUAUCAAUAAAAAAAAUUAUCAUGUAACAUUAGAUACUAAAUAUUGAGAAUUAUAUUAUAAUAAAAUAACAGUGACAUAAUAUAAAUUUCAAUAUUUUUAUAUUAAAACUCAUUAAUACAAAUUAUUAUCAUUUUAAAAUUGUUUAUGAAUCUGAGAUCAUGCAAGUACACAUAUUAACAUAUUUUUUAAUGAUGUUUCAAUGUUGAGAUAUGGUUAUAUGAUUAGAUUAGAUUAGAGUAUUUCAAAUUUAAAUAUAUAUAUAUAUAAUAAAAAAAUUGGGGGAGAAUUAAAUGUAUACCAACCUCUUAAUUUCAUCUCGUCUCAAGUUUUAACUUAAUUAAUAUUGCUAUCAUGUCAAGGAAAAAAAUAUAAGUUCAAGUACACUUAAACACGUAUUAUCCUUAACUAAAUGUUUUUAUUUUUUUAAAUAAUUUUUUUAAAAAGAAACCAACUUACUAUUUUUAUAAAUUUAACAAAGCAAUCAAAUUAUUAAAUAGAAAAUUAAAGAUAAACAGAAUUAUAGGAGCUUAAAUUUUGGAAAAAAAAUGUGAGAAAAUUAACUUUAUCCAUUAUUUAUUAAAAUUCACAUAAAAAAUCAAUUAAUAUUUUAGUCACAAUAAUAAAAUUAAUGGUUUAUCAUACAUAAAUAUCUCAGUAUGAUCAAAUAUAUUUAAAAGUAAAAGCAAACUUAAAUAAAUUUAAAAUUAACAGUUUACAAAUAUAAACAAACUUAAGCAAAAUUUACAAAAAAAAAAAAAAACAAGUCUGAGAAUAAUCCCACAAUUGAUAUCCAGUUUCUCUAAGUUGCAGGUACUGAAAAUGGAGGGGUGUUGCUAUCAAUGUUCAUUGGUUUUGGAGGAAAUGAAGCAUUUAAACUAUUUGAAUGUGUUGACCAUUACUUUUACAAGCACUUUGGAGUUAGAAAAAGACUUGGGGUUUCAACAAGUUCAUUAGCUGUGCCAUUGAACAUGUAAGCCUUUAAGGUUUUAGAGAUUCAAGGUCAUUGAAUAUUUUGGCUUUAGCAAAUCUGCAACCUUUAUAUAGCUUAGAAUUUUCGGGUUAUAUGGCUAUUGAAGAAGUGAAGAUCGAAAGUAACAUAAUUGAAGGUGUAGGAUGCUUCCAUAGCCUUCGAUCUGUAUACCUAUUCGAUUGCAAUCAAUUGAGGGAUGCGAGUAAUUGGAUAAUUUUUGCUCCACAUUUGGAACAACUAUUUAUACGUGAUUGCCAAGGUUUAGAAGAAAUAAUCAGUGAGGAAAAACUUAGUGAAGUCGCUGAGCUAAAAGGAAAUUCAAACUUGUUUUCUAAGCUAGAGUUUUUGCAUCUAAAUAAUCUGCCCACAAUGAAGACAAUAUACGGACAUGCUCUACUUUUUCCGCAGCUGAAGAGAAUCACAAUUUUAAAUUGCCCAAUGCUGAAGAAGUUCCCACUAAACUCCAAUAGUGCAAAAGGACGAAGGCUCGUCAUUGAAGGAGACGAGGGAUGGUGGAAAGAGGUAGAAUGGGAGGAUGAAUCUACUCAAAUUGCUUUUUUCCCCUCUUUCAAACAUCGGUAAUCUACUAAAUGUUGGAUUUUAAUUAAGGCUUAAAGCCCUUAUUGUAUCAUAACAUACCUCACUCUUAAGUUCUAUUUUGUCUAUCUUUAAAUUACAUGCAGAUUGGUUCUUUGUUUUACACAACUUUUUCCUUUAAAUGAAUUAACCCAUUUUUAUAAUUUAAAUUUUUUUAUUACAUGUGGCAACAACAAGAGAACGUGAGUUUGAGCACAAAUAAAUACAAAUUAUUUUUUAAUUCACACGUUUAAGAGUCUAUAAGUAGUAAUAGGAAAUUUAUAAAAUUUUUUAUUAUUUAUAUUGGUUUUUGUUUAAUAAUUUUCUUUAAAAGAAACCAACUUAAGCAUUGUUUCGAUAUCAUAUAUGAGCCCGGCUUAACCUGUGAACAUCUUUACUCAAACCCGAUUACUUAAAGUGAGAUUAUGUAUAUGAAUUCUCUAGAAUUACAGACUCAUAAACAAGUUAUUGGAAUUAAUACUCAAAUGGCAGUAUCUGAAUUUAAUAAGUUACGGCAAACUGAUUAGUUAAAUGUUUGAUGAGUAUAAUUAUUAGACAUCUCAUUCUCCUACUUCCUUUGCAUUUUGAAUUUAGCCCCUCUUGUAACACUAAAAUAACAUUAACAGGUAAAGACUGUAUACAGAGGUAAGCAUAAUAUGCCUAAUUUCAACUUGAUUUUGUAAUAUUUCCAUCAAAUAAUUUAUGCGCCUUUAUCAUAGUGUUAUAAUUAAGAGUGUGUGUCCACUUCUAUAGAUUCUCGUGUGGUGUGCUAAUAAUUCUAGAAAAUACUCGGUACUCAGUAAGUAUAAGCUAAUGAAAAAGUGAAAUCUUGUUUCUGUAUUGUUCUUUAUAUCUAGAAGAUGAUCUCAUUGAAAAAUAUGCACUAAUACAUUAUAGGUAAUCAGUAUCAGAAAUGUUAUCACUGUACAUUUUGGGUGCUCAAGUCAUGAGAAAAAAUCAAAUAUUAAAUGAAAUAUUAGCUUUAAAAUUUUAGAAACAAAAUUUUUAAUUAAAUAAAAUAUAAAACCACUUAAAAUUUGAAUAUACUUAAUAUAUAUUUUUAAUAGGUAAAGAUAAAAAAGAUUUUCUUAAUAUAUUUAAAAUUUUAAAAAAAUGAAAUAUAUUAAAAAAUUAAAUAUAUUAAAAAGGUUAAGUAUAACCAAUUUUAAAAUUUUAAUAUAUUUUUAAAAAAUUAAAUAUAUUAAAAAAUGUUAAGUAUAACCAAUUUUAAAAUUUCAAUAUGUUCAAUAUAUUUUUAAAAUAUAUUUUAAAAUUUUAAUAUAUUUAAUAUAUAUUUUAAUAGGUAAAGAGAAAAAAAAUUUUAAUAUAUUUAAAUUUUUAAAAAACUUAAAAAAUUUUAAAUAUAUUAAAAUUUUAAAUAUGUUAAAGAAAAUAUUAAGUAUAACCAAUUUUAAAAUUUUAAUAUACUCAAUAUGUCAAAAUAUAUUAAAAUUUUGAACAUAUUAAAAAAUUUUGAAGUAUUAAAAUUUCAAAAUAUUUUUUAAUAGGUAAAGACAAAAAAAAAGUUUUUCUUAAUAUAUUUAAAAUUUAAAAAAAAAAGGGCGGGCAACUUUGGAAACCGAUGGCACCAAUUUAUUUAACUCCACCAAAAAAGGAAAAUUUUAUUUUUAAGUUCCUCUAUUUUUUUCAAAAAUUACAGUAUUUUCUUAAUAUUUAUACAAUAUAUAAUUAUUUUUAUUAUUUUAAAUACUUGUUUAUAUAGUUUUCUUUAAAAAAAAAUUAAAACAGUUUUGGGAAAAACCAAUUUUUCUGAAAACAUAUUUAUAAAUAUAAAUCUUUUUAAAAUAUUUUAAAAUAUAGUAUUUUAAUUAUAAUUGGUAAUAAUUUUAAAUCUUCGUAUAUUUUUAAUCAACAAAUUAUGAUAUAUUUUUAUCAUAUUUUUUAAUCAACAAAUUAGGCCCAUUUAUUUAAAAUUUUAAAUUAAUAAUUUAACUAUGUUCCAAAUACAAAACGUGUUGAAUUAAAAUAUGAAUAUUAAAGUUGAGUGGCACUCGACAAUAUUCACUACAUUUACUUACCACAACCUCAAUUAUUGCCCAUGUUGGAAGAGGACGGCAACUGUCUCUGAAAAUUAUCUGACCAAAAUUUUCAUCCCCACAAUUAGGAUAUGCAAUUAGUUAUGGUUUAAUCAUAGCAUAAAGCUCAUGAGUGAAAAUCCUCAUAUCUUUUUUAUUUUGUGUAUAGUGCUCAACUUACCUCCUCUGCAUUUUGAAUCUAGACACCUGCUUUGAAGGUUGAGAACCAGAUGACUGCAGAGGGCAUAAAUUUUGCAAUAAGUUGGUGGCUAUACUACUUAAUAACUACGUACUCACAAAGAUGUGUAAGCACAAUUUUUUAUAUGGGUUCCAUGUCUUUAAUUGGAUUAUGAUAACCCCUGAAACAAUUUCUGAAUUCUUCCAUUGGCAUAUAUGGUCAUGAAUUCAGUUACAUUGAUCUUCCACUGUGUUCUGUUUUUUUACUGAUGUGUCCAUUUUUAUGGAUUCUCGUGUGUUGUGCUAAUAAUUCUUAGAAAUAUUCUGCACUAAGUGGGUAUAAGCUGAUGAAAAAGUAAAAUCUGGUUUCAUGUAUUAUUCUUUAUAUCCAGAACAUGAUCUCAUUGAAAAAGAUACACUAAUAUAUUAUAGGUAGUCAAUUUCAGAAAUGUUAUCAUUGUAAUUUUUGGAUAAUAAAAUUAUGAGAAAAAAUCGAAUAUUAAAUGAUAUAUUAGCUUUAAAAUUUUAGAAACAAAUUUUUUAAUUAAAUAAAAUAUAAAACCACUUAAAUAAAAUAUAAAACCACUUACAAUUUGAAUAUGCUUAAUAUAUAUUUUUAAUAAGUAAAGAUAAAAAAGAUUUUCUUAAUAUAUUUAAAAUUUUUAAAAUUUUAAAAAAAUGAAUAUAUUAAAAUUUUAAAAAUAUUAAAAAAUGUUAAGUAUAAUCAAUUUUAAAAUUUUAAUAUGUUCAAUAUAUUUUUAAAAUAUAUUUUAAAAUUUUAAAAUUUUAAUAUAUUUUUAAUAGUUAAAGAGAAAAAGAUUUUUUAGUAUAUUUAAAAUUUUAAAAAAAUUUAAAAAAUUAAAUAUAUUAAAAUUUUAAAAUAUUUUUUAAUAGGUGAAGACCAAAAAAAAAGUUUAUUCUUAAUAUAUUUAAAAUUUUAAAAGGAAAAAAAAGGAGAGCAACUUUGAAAACGGGUGGCACUAAUUUAUUUAACUCCACUAAAAAAGAAAAUAUUUUAUUUUUUAGUCUCUCUAUUUUUUUAAAAAUUACAAUAUUUUUUUAAUAUUUAUACAGGUUGCGCAAUUUUACACGGCUCUACUAAAAAAUAUUUUUUUAUCUUAAUUGUUGACGUGACAUGUUAGUGUCGCCAAACUCUUUAGCUCUAUCAACUUUCACGAUAAAUUUUAAGUCACUUACGUGUUUAAUUAAAAAAAUAAAUUAUUUAUGUAAUUAAUUAAAAUUUUUUAAAUUAGUUUUAUAAAAAAAAAAUAUCAGCAUGCGAAAUUGGACUUCCAUUAUGUCAAUAAUUGAGGUUGAUUGUAAGUUGCAAAUGAGGGGAACGGUUUCCACACAGAAGACAAGAACGGCCUUUCAUCUGUCACAAAUAAAUAUCAGCAUGCCAAAUUGGACUUCCAUUUCCACGAAAAAGACAAGAAUGUCCUUUCAUUUGUCAUAAAUAAAUAUCAGUGUUAAUAAUUUACGUUGAUUGAAAUGAGGGGAAUGGUUUCCACACAAAAGACAAGAAGGUCCUUUUAUCUGUUUGGACUUACUGUCCACCCAUAAUGCCCUGCCCAAAGCUACCAAAAAAAGUGGAACCCUUGAAAGAGAAAGAGAGAAAUAGGUCCAACCUGUGAGUUUCUUUAUUGGAUCAUAACAGUAAAAAUACACGCAUGAUUUUGUUAGCUAAAAUUCUUUCUUUUAACAAAAUCAUAAAAUAUAUAAACUUUAUAAUAUUAAUAUUUAAUUUUCAUUAAAUUAACCAUAAAAUUUAAAUUAAAUACUAAAAAAUUAACAUUAUAAUCUUUGGGAACUAAAAAAAUAUAAUUUUUCUAAAAUACAAGUACUACAUUAGAAAAAAUUGUCGAACUUGAGUAUGAAAUGAUAUAUUAAGCUUUUUAAUAAAUAUUAACUUUAAAAUUUUAGAAACAAAUUUUUUAAUUAAAUAAAAUAUAAAACCACUUAAAUUUAAUACAAUAUUUAAUUAUUUUUUUAUUAUUUUAAAUACUUGUAUAUAUAUAUUUUUUAAAUUUAAAAUAGUUAUAGGAAAAAAAAUUUAUUGAAAACAUAUUUAUAAAUAUAAUUAAAUUUAAAUUUUCUAAAAAAACAUAGUAUUUUAAUUUUAAUUGUGAGUAGUUUAAAUUUAUAUACAUUUUUAAUUAACAAAUUGUAAAAUAUUUUUAGCAUAUUUUAAACACUUUGUAAACAUUUAUGUAAAAUUUUAAACAUCUUUGAUUAUUUUAUAUUUUAAUUAUUUUUUGGUACCAAAAAUACAUGUGAACUUCCAACGGUUUGUCUUUGUUUACCUGCGAAUCUUCUUUCUCUCUGUUUUUGUUUACCAAAAUAUUCUCUGUCUUUCAUAUAACUCCAUAAGCAUCUUUGAUUUAUUCCUUGCUUCUAUCUUCAGAAAUUGUUCAGCUCACUCUUCUAAAAUCAAAAACAGGUAUGGAUAAUAUCUUCUCAAUCUCACUUUCACAUGAUGCCGUCAUUACCCGUUGUUGGGAUUCUGCUGUUGGAAAGGCUGCUUUUCUAUGCAAAUUUGAAGAAAACUUCCACGCUUUAAAAAUUGAAGUGGAAGAAUUGAAGGCGAUAAGGACGGAUCUUAUGAGCAGGGUCAGGGUCGCUUAAGAUGACCCCAGGUUGAUCUUUUCCUUUAGAGGGCUAAUAAUGUGAUGUGAGUCUCAAGGCACAAUUUUAGACUCAUGAAUGUGAUGAGUUCACAUUACCUCAAGGCCCAACAAUAAUGUUAAAGGUUAAACAAAUCAAAUCAGGAUUCGAUCAAAGAUAAGAUUCGAGGACGAAUCUUUUUGAGGAAAGGGAGAAUGAUAUAUGCACAUAUGAGGUGGAAUUUAUUAAAUUUUAAUCACCAAAACUGCCAAUUUUCGGGCUUAAAAAAUUAGCAAACUUGCGACGACUUUUGAUGAGAAACAUUUCUGGGUUGAGAUGUCUUCAUGAGGUUUGAAGAUCUAUCUCUUAGCUUCAAAACGCAUUUAAAUCACUCGAUAAAGGAGCAACCGAAAGCUAAAAAGUGGGAAGAGGUAACAAGACUGUCGCUGAUGGAUAAUCAAAUUAAAAAUCUAACUGAGAUAUUGGAAUGUCCCAAUCUCCAAACUUUGUUUCUUGGCAGCAAUGAUUUGAAGGUAAUCAUGGAUGAUUUCUUUAAUUUCAUGCCGAUGCUAAGGGUUCUGGAUUUGUCCCAUAAUAUGAAGUUGGAAGAAUUGCCAGUAGGAAUUGCAAAGUUGGUUUCACUAGAACAUCUCAAUCUGUCAUUUACAGGAAUAAGAAAGUUGCCAGUCGAAUUGAAGACCCUAGCAAAGCUGAAAUAUUUGAAUCUGGAGUGGACACCGUAUCUAGAAAUGAUCCCACAACAAUUGAUAUCCAGUUUCUCCAAGUUGCAAGUCCUGAAAAUGGAGGGAUGUAGCUAUGGAUGUUUAUUGGUUUUAAAGGAAAUGGAGCAUUUAAAAUAUUUGAAUGUGUUGACCAUUAGUUUUAGAAGCGCUUCGGAGUUGGAAAGAGCUUCGAGGUUCAACAAGUCCUUUAGCUGUGCCAUUGAAGCUGUAAGUCUAGUAAAUUUUAGACAUUCAAGAUCAUUGACUAUUAUGGCUUUAGCAAAUCUGCAGCAUCUAUGUACUUUAACACUCUCGAGGUGUAUGGAUCUAGAGAAAGUGAAGAUCGAACGUAACAUAAUUAAAGGUGUAGGAUGCUUCCAUAGCCUUCGAUCUGUAAUCCUAGACGAAUGCAAUCAUUUGAGGGAUGUGAGUUGGGUAACCUUGGCUCCACAUUUGGAAGUACUAAGGAUAACUGAAUGCAAUGGUUUAGAAGAAAUCAUCAGUGAAGAAAAACAUGGUGAAGUCGCUGAGCUAAAAGGAAAUUCAAACUUAUUUUCUAAGCUCGAGAUUUUGUGUCUACAUAAUCUGGCCAAACUAAAGACUAUAUACCAUCAUGCUCUGCCUUUCCCACAGCUGAAGAAAAUCAGAAUAGUAAAAUGCGGAAUGUUGAAGAAGCUCCCACUAAACUCCAAUAGUACAAAAGGACAGAGACUAGUCAUUGAAGGAGAGGAGGGAUGGUGGAAAAAUGUAGAAUGGAAGGAUGAAUCCACUCGAAUUGCUUUUCUCCCUUCUUUCAAACCUUAUGUAAUCUAAGAAAUGUUGGAUAUUAAUUAAGGCUUAAAGCCUUGAUUGUAUCAUAACAUACCUCAUUGUAAGUUCUAUUUUGCCUAUCCUUAGAUUACAUGUAGCUUGGUUCUGUGUUUUACACA
rnacentral:lncRNA from 1 species